rnacentral:rRNA from 1 species
ACGAUGAUGCCCAGCUUGCUGGGUGGAUUAGUGGCGAACGGGUGAGUAACACGUGAGUAACCUGCCCCUGACUCUGGGAUAAGCGUUGGAAACGACGUCUAAUACUGGAUAUGAUCACUGGCCGCAUGGUCUGGUGGUGGAAAGAUUUUUUGGUUGGGGAUGGACUCGCGGCCUAUCAGCUUGUUGGUGAGGUAAUGGCUCACCAAGGCGACGACGGGUAGCCGGCCUGAGAGGGUGACCGGCCACACUGGGACUGAGACACGGCCCAGACUCCUACGGGAGGCAGCAGUGGGGAAUAUUGCACAAUGGGCGAAAGCCUGAUGCAGCAACGCCGCGUGAGGGAUGACGGCCUUCGGGUUGUAAACCUCUUUUAGUAGGGAAGAAGCGAAAGUGACGGUACCUGCAGAAAAAGCACCGGCUAACUACGUGCCAGCAGCCGCGGUAAUACGUAGGGUGCAAGCGUUGUCCGGAAUUAUUGGGCGUAAAGAGCUCGUAGGCGGUUUGUCGCGUCUGCUGUGAAAUCCCGAGGCUCAACCUCGGGCUUGCAGUGGGUACGGGCAGACUAGAGUGCGGUAGGGGAGAUUGGAAUUCCUGGUGUAGCGGUGGAAUGCGCAGAUAUCAGGAGGAACACCGAUGGCGAAGGCAGAUCUCUGGGCCGUAACUGACGCUGAGGAGCGAAAGCAUGGGGAGCGAACAGGAUUAGAUACCCUGGUAGUCCAUGCCGUAAACGUUGGGCGCUAGAUGUAGGGACCUUUCCACGGUUUCUGUGUCGUAGCUAACGCAUUAAGCGCCCCGCCUGGGGAGUACGGCCGCAAGGCUAAAACUCAAAGGAAUUGACGGGGGCCCGCACAAGCGGCGGAGCAUGCGGAUUAAUUCGAUGCAACGCGAAGAACCUUACCAAGGCUUGACAUACACCGGAAACGGCCAGAGAUGGUCGCCCCCUUGUGGUCGGUGUACAGGUGGUGCAUGGUUGUCGUCAGCUCGUGUCGUGAGAUGUUGGGUUAAGUCCCGCAACGAGCGCAACCCUCGUUCUAUGUUGCCAGCGGGUUAUGCCGGGGACUCAUAGGAGACUGCCGGGGUCAACUCGGAGGAAGGUGGGGAUGACGUCAAAUCAUCAUGCCCCUUAUGUCUUGGGCUUCACGCAUGCUACAAUGGCCGGUACAAAGGGCUGCGAUACCGUAAGGUGGAGCGAAUCCCAAAAAGCCGGUCUCAGUUCGGAUUGAGGUCUGCAACUCGACCUCAUGAAGUCGGAGUCGCUAGUAAUCGCAGAUCAGCAACGCUGCGGUGAAUACGUUCCCGGGCCUUGUACACACCGCCCGUCAAGUCAUGAAAGUCGGUAACACCCGAAGCCGGUGGCCUAACCCUUG